rnacentral:rRNA from 1 species
CGAGCGAGCGAUGAAUUUUCGGAUGGAUUGCUGAGCGGCGGACGGGUGAGUAACGCGUGGGUACCUGCCUCAUACAGGGGGAUAACAGUUAGAAAUGACUGCUAAUACCGCAUAAGGCCGCAUGGUAAAAACUCCGGUGGUAUGAGAUGGACCCGCGUCUGAUUAGCCAGUUGGUGGGGUAACGGCCUACCAAGGCGACGAUCAGUAGCCGACCUGAGAGGGUGACCGGCCACAUUGGGACUGAGACACGGCCCAAACUCCUACGGGAGGCAGCAGUGGGGAAUAUUGCACAAUGGGGGAAACCCUGAUGCAGCAACGCCGCGUGAGGAAGAAGUAUUUCGGUAUGUAAAGCUCUAUCAGCAGGGAAGAAAAUGACGGUACCUGACUAAGAAGCCCCGGCUAACUACGUGCCAGCAGCCGCGGUAAUACGUAGGGGGCAAGCGUUAUCCGGAUUUACUGGGUGUAAAGGGAGCGUAGACGGCGAGACAAGUCUGAAGUGAAAGCCCGGGGCUCAACCCCCGGACUGCUUUGGAAACUGCCUUGCUGGAGUGUCGGAGAGGUAAGUGGAAUUCCUAGUGUAGCGGUGAAAUGCGUAGAUAUUAGGAGGAACACCAGUGGCGAAGGCGGCUUACUGGACGAUAACUGACGUUGAGGCUCG